AUGCAAUAGCUGAUAGCUGCCUUUUAUUAGGUAGAGGAAAGUCCGUGCUAGCACCAACUGCGAUGUUGGUAGUGAUCACGUUAAGCCCAAUAAGCUUAAGCCUAGACGACUAGUGCCACAGAGACGAGAAUUGUGAAACGCGGUAAACUCCGUGAGCUAGAAACCCAAAUUUGGUAGGGGAAUCGCAAAUAGAAAAUGAACAAUUUUGCGAAGUAUAUCUUUAAUGAUAUAUUAGAUAAAUUAUCAGCACUUUUUUAAAGUACAGAACACGGCUUAUUUUG
rnacentral:RNase_P_RNA from 1 species